GCCCAGCUAGCUCAGUCGGUAGAGCAUGAGACUCUUAAUCUCAGGGUUAUGGAUUCGAGCCCCACCUUUGGGUG